rnacentral:rRNA from 1 species
AUUGAACGCUGGCGGCAGGCUUAACACAUGCAAGUCGAGCGGGGUGAUGGCGCUUGCACUAUCACUUAGCGGCGGACGGGUGAGUAAUGCUUAGGAAUCUGCCUAUUAGUGGGGGACAACAUCUCGAAAGGGAUGCUAAUACCGCAUACGUCCUACGGGAGAAAGCAGGGGAUCACUUGUGACCUUGCGCUAAUAGAUGAGCCUAAGUCGGAUUAGCUAGUUGGUGGGGUAAAGGCCUACCAAGGCGACGAUCUGUAGCGGGUCUGAGAGGAUGAUCCGCCACACUGGGACUGAGACACGGCCCAGACGCCUACGGGAGGCAGCAGUGGGGAAUAUUGGACAAUGGGGGGAACCCUGAUCCAGCCAUGCCGCGUGUGUGAAGAAGGCCUUAUGGUUGUAAAGCACUUUAAGCGAGGAGGAGGCUCUUUUGGUUAAUACCCAAGAUGAGUGGACGUUACUCGCAAAAUAAGCACCGGCUAACUCUGUGCCAGCCGCCGCAGUAA